GUUUACCUGAAGAAGUACCAUGGCGGGUGGGAGACAGAUGAAUCUUGUGGAGCUCUAAUUGCUCUUGCCUGUGUCUGACUGAAUAAAGCCAAGGUGCGCCAGUCACUUGGGGCUCGAAGUCAAAGAGAGACAUGAGGGCCCCUCCACAUCCUGAUUUUUAACUUGUUUUUAUGUAGCUUUAUUUUUUGAUCUUCACCCAUUGGUCAGGUUCAAGCUCAGCUUAUAAGCUGCCUCCUACACUACUUUAUCAGUGAAGAUUCUUUAGAAAUAAUUUCUUCGCCAUUAGGAUCUUCAUCAAGACGCUGAGAAGACGAAAUUUUAGGGAGGAGGGUGGGGGAAAGGAAAGUAGGGAAAGAAAAAAUGAGAGAAGAAAAAAAUGGAAACAGCUUUUGUAAAUAGGGAGGGGUGGAAGGAAGGGAAGGGAAAUGGGGAAAAAACAAGAACCAAGAUAUAUCACGUACAGAGCUGGGGAUUUAGCUCAGUGGUGCUGCCGCCUGCCUUGCACACACAAGGUCCUGAGUUCAAUCCCUGAUACACAAAAAAAGAUAUAUCAUGUACAAGUACAAAUUCCCAAUGAUGAAUGAUCAUACUGUAUACCUAAAACGUACCAACAAACUUACAGGGGGAAAAAAUUCUAAUAUACUGCUUCAGUUAAGAACCUGAUUCAAGCCCAAGCAAUCCUAGAAAUGAAGAAAACUGGAGGACUCACACUUCCUACUAAGCUGCAGUAAUCUAAAUAGCAUGGUACUUGCACAAAGAUCGAGAUCUAGACCAAGGGAAAAAGAAUAGACAAGCCAGAAACCCUCACAGGUAUGGUCAGUGGUACUUGACUAUGGGGUGCUGAGACCAUUCAAUGGGGAAAGGACAGUUUUUGUUUUUCACAGCUAGUGCAGAGAAAACAGCACUUGAUCUUAGCCAAAAGACUGAAGUGAUUAGUGCUGGGAACAGGAGACACCCACAUGCAAAUGAAUGAAGUUAGUCUUACCUAACGCUGCCUAGUACAAAACCUAAAUCAAAAUGGGUCUAAGACUUAAAACACAGGCCUCAGGCUUCAGAAAAUUUGAUUUGGCAAUGAUUCCUUGUGUGACAGCUACAGCACAGACAAGGAAAAAAAUAGAGAAAUUGGGCUUCAUGCCCAAAAUAAAAUUGUAAAAUUUUAUUCAGCUAAAGGCACCCCACAAAAUGGGAGAAAAUAUUUGCAGACCACAUACAUAUCUGAUGAGAUAUAUCCAGAAUAUACCCUGAAUCCCUAAAACUCAACAUGAAGCAUACAGCCUAAUUAAAGAGUGGGUAAAGGACAUGCACAGACACCCUCUGUGGAAGACACACAAUGAAGACACUUGGCAUCAGUCAACAUCAGAGGAAUGCAAAUCAAACAUAGGAGGCACCACCUCUCCCUAGGAUGGCUACUACCAAAAAAAUAGAAACUAUGUUGGUGAGGGUGUGGGACCAUUGGAACCCUUGUAUCCCAAGACUAGGAAUGUAAAAUGUUGUAGCUACUGUGGAAAACAGCACAGUAAUUCCUUAAAAAAAACUAAAUGUAGCACUAGCUAGUGGUCCUGGAACGCUACUGGGUUUAUACCCAAAGGAGUUGGGAGUUGGGAGUUGGGUCCUAAAGAGAAAUACAUAUUCACAGCAGCAGUAUUCAUAAUAGCUAAAACAUCGAAGCAAGUGUCCAUCGACAGAUGAAGAGGUCAGCAAAUCGUACAACGAUUAGAGUAGAACGUUAGCCUUUAAAGGAAGAAAUUCUACCAAUCUGAUGAUGACUUGGAUGGACCUUGAGGACGUGCUAAGUGCAAUAAGCCAGUGUCUAAAAGACAGUUACUUAAGAUUCCACUUACCUUAGGUACUUAGAGACAGGGAAAGACAAGAAGUAGAAUGAUGGUUGCCAGAGGCUGCAUGGGAGUGUACUGUUUGACAGCACAGUUUUCAGUUUUACAAGAUGGAAAGAGUUUUGGAGAUAAGACGGUGCUGGGAGUAGCACAUUAUGAAUGUAUUUAGCACCACUGAAAUGUAAACUUGAAAAUGAUUGAGUUGGUAAAUUGUAUUUGUGUUUUAUCACAAUAAAGACAAAGGGCCGGGGAUUUAGCUCAGUGGUUCUGCCCCCUGCCUCGAAAGUGCAAGGUCCCUAGUUUGAUCCCUGGUACCAAAAAUACAAAACAACAAAAAACAAGACAAAGGAACCACUGAUUCUGAAGUUGUAAGUUUUGAACAGUCUUUUUAAAAUAGGGCUUCUAAAGUAAUUCUAAGUCUAUGAGCCUGAGACCAGGUAGCUCUGCCCUGGUAGAUGACCGCAAGCUAAAAGACGAGGCUGGAGACAGGGCCAGUCACCUAAGCAAGCUGUGGCCUUCAGUCCCAAAGCCUGUGCCUGUGCCUGACACUCAAGAGUCAUUCAUAGGCCUAGAUGGCAGUGAGGAGGAAGGGAGGAGGAGGACAAGCUGUCCCCACCAGUUCUGUGAUUUUUGACAUGCUCUGACUUAAUGAAAUUUCACAUGGGAACAGCACAAAAUAUCUGUAGGCAAGAACAGACAUUCCCUAUGGUUGGAGCCAAAUUCAGAAAGCAGCUUGGGGGGGGGGGGGGGGCGUGGUUGCUUGGGGGAUCUAGGGCAGGGCCCUAAGAAGCCAGUGUCACUGCAGCUCAUGGGGGAAGGGAGCCGAGCUGGUUAUCUGAGACCCCAAGGGAAGUCUCUCAGGGACUUAGAUGGGACACGCCUAUAGUCCCUUCUUCUCUGCCAAGCUGUCCGUUCCAAGUCCUCUCGGAUGUGUCACUGGAGGCAUAUAGUAGUUCUAGCUGCUAUGUGUCUAUGUCUGUCUUAGAACUCAAGCUGAGUUCUCGGGCCUCACCAGUUCUCUUCCUCCAUCAUGGAGUUACUGUCCCAGGGCUGGGCUCAUGGAGGGGAAAGGCCAUUUCAGAGUCCCUCUGGGGUCUCUGGUAAAGCUUCCCCCAAGCUGAACGAAAUUCAGUUCGACGAAACCACCAAAAAGCAAAGUGAAAUAGUGUUCACCACCAGCUCUCUCGAGGCCCUCUGCUAACCCUGGCACUGAAGUCCCUGUCACCUCAUCCCGAAUAACAAAACAGGGGGCAAAAAAGGAUGAAUGACAGAGACACGGAGUGUUUAACAGGCAGGCAGCCAGGAGGCCCUCGCAUAGGAGCCCUUAGUGUCCAGUUCAUCUUGCCUUUAUUGACCCAAACUCGGGUACAAGCAAUCAGAGUAACACAAGAUUCAUCUGCUUCCUGCUAGCCAUUAGCACAUGCUCAGGUACACAACUUAACCUCAGCUGUCUUGACUGUUCCCUAGGGUCUGCAAUGUGCAAUCACCCCUGAGUGCAGCCUUUCUCCUUUGUGCUCACGGAGGAGGCCAAUUAGGCCUCAAUUCUCCUCUGGUCUCCGACAGUCCCCUGCAAAAGUGGGUGACUUAGGGGAAUGGGAGCUCUCCCUGCCCUACCCUAGUGCCCAUUUUAUAAGGGCUGGUAAGUCUAAGGAAGAGACAUGGGUUUUUCCUCUUUUAAAUAUAAUAUAAACAUUUAAUUGUUUAAAAUUUCCUUCGUUACUUAUGAAUGACUGAACCUGCUCCACCUCCCAGCCCCUGACCCUCUGCAUACCCUGGCUCUCCCAGAGCAGAGCUCCUCCUGGUUGCCAGGCUUCCAGUCAGUCAGGCUCCCACACCCUGGCUUGCACUCUCAAUGUAGGCUGGACCAGGCCCUUCUGCUCCCACCCACAGAUGUUCAUUCUUCCUUUGGCUUUUGUCCAGAUGGCAGUCGUUGCCCUAGCCCUCUCCCUUCGUCUUUGCUGGUCUCAGCCUCCUGGUCCCUUUGAUAGACGACAGCCAUGCUACCCUGGUGCUGGUGCACCCAGGAUCAGCACACUCGCUGUGUACUGGCUACAAUGACCCAGCAGCUUCCUGAGACUAGUGAGCAUCUUCCCGUUGGAGCCCUCACCUAUGUGAGAGCAGUCCCCGAGCUCUGGGACCUGCAGAGGCUCUUUGGGACAGACUUCUCGGCUUCUUGAGCUCUCCUUUCAGGCCUUGACCCCUCCCCAAACUCUGUUCAUCUGUUUCCAGCUCCAGCUCCACUUCCCAAGCCAGCACAGCACCUUGCACAUUUUCCCUGACUUGAAAUCAGAAUGACAGUCACACACGUUCUGAGAAUAAGCCGUUGGUUGAUUUUGCUGUUUGAGUGAACACAAAGCCAGACAGUAACAUCUAUCAGAUAGUAACAUCUGCUACACGCUGAGGCUCCUGUGGCAGAUAUAUAUGUGGUGUAGCUGGUUGUCCCUCCAGCCAUGGCGGACAAAGCAAUGCAGAAUUAAAUCAAUCACAAAAUAAAAUGGUGUGAUGGAGGGAAGAGGUGAACGUGAGACACAGGUGGCUGUCGCCAGAAUAACACAGUAUACGGUUUUACAGCAAAUGAGGGUGUUGUAAGUAGAAGGAGUAGCAUGCAGGAGAUCCUUGGUUUGGUCCCCAGUGCCAAAAGAAAAAACAGUAUAGUACAGUAAAUCUAGGUACCAAUCACUAAUAGUCAUGAUCAAACGUGCCCUAUACACAACUGUAUGUGCCACAAGGCUACAAC
rnacentral:lncRNA from 1 species